UUUUACGUGUUGCCUAUGACUGUUGCUUGUGGGGAGAGACAUUUCAGUAAGCUAAAACUAACUUUUGAGAAGAAAACCUCUUAAGUCAACUCCUAUUCCUGCCGGUCAAGAAGUUUGUUAAGUAGAGCAGGAAUGCAGUCCAAGACGUCAUUAUUAUUUUAUGGCCAAAGUGUGUCACAUGACUUAUUGGACCACAUGAGUCACACCAAGUAUAGCGUGUUUCUUUUUACAAACUCUACACAGCACUUAUGAUGAUCAACAUUGGGGGAAAUUGUGAAAUUUUGUUACCAGUAAAUGACAUAAAAAAACUGCAGACUUCAAGGUGGCUCAAGCUCUUCUGAGCCAUUACAGCCGCUGACUGAGUGGUCACAGGUUCGACACAACAUCAGGUCACUUGUCCACAUGCAGCACUGAAUCCUGGAAUAUCAUUUAAUAUGAUUUGCUUCAGUGAGUCACAGAAAUGAUGGGAAUUCAAAUUCACAUUUCUUUCAUCUGCUGCCAUUCACAACAGCACUGGUGAACUUCUAGACUUCCAGACUACUGAAUGACGUUUAAAUGUGAAAAUCUGGACUGAGCAAACCUGAGUCAGCAGAUGACGUGCUGAAAAGCAGACAGACUUUGAAAUUGACCAAAGCUCAGAUUGUAUGCAGCUGUAAAGGUUGUUUUAUGAGCGAAAUCAGUAAUGACAAUCUAUUAAAUAAUUUGUGAGUAGAAGGAUUAAACCACAACUGUCAAAUGUGCAAUUCAUAGUGUCAUAAGGUAUGCAAUAUCUAAAAUAAUUUAAGGUUUACUGGCGAUGGAUGGUGUUUUGCAUCAGGUUAUCUGUAGAUGUUAUAUAAUAUAUUCAAAAUACUUUUGAGAAUGUUACAGAUUCAGGCAUCACGUCAGUUCUUUAAAGCUGAAACUUUUAUUAUUCUUCCUAAGUUGGUGAUUCACUGAAAUGCCAAAUAAAUUUAAAAUUUUUUGGGACAUUUUAGUUGAAACUUUAUAAAAAAAAUACUUUAAAGACAUUCUUCAGUUUGGAGAUUAUUGUGCAGAUUAUCACAUUCAGAUCUAGAAAGGAAACAAAGUUGUUCUAAGAACAGAAAAAUAAAUCAGGUUCAAUUGUAGCUGUAUUUAUCACAUUUAAUUAGAGUUGGUAGAGUUGCAGAGAAGUGUAUGGUCAUGCUUGCUGAUUAUAGACUGAUGCAAAUUUAACUUGUAUCAGAAUAUUCAAAGUCCUCUCCACCUGUCCAUAUUGCAUAUUAUUAUGGAAAGACAGAUGAAAAGUAUACUGAUGUGUAAAGCGCUUCUGAAAUCUGAACUCUUUUUUUUUUCUCAACAGGUUUUUUUAUUGAUCACAUUAUUGUACCAAUCUGUUUUCUCUUCUCUAAAUUUCUCACAAAUUCACUUUUAAGAUCCACAAUUCUCAUAUCUAUCUGCUAUUCCUUGUGUUCCUACUCUGUCUCUUUGUGUCUUUUCACAGGAAGAAAAUAAGCUUCAAUACCCUCAUGACUUACUUGUUGAUAUCAAGCAAGAUGAAGAUUGAGUACUUGUGAAGAUACUUAAACCCACAGUCAGGUGGAGAAAAAGGGACAACGAUGGAAACAAACAAAUGUGAUGUGAUGAUGCACACCAGAUAUGUCCUUCAUAACAGAGAUACCAUAACAGCCAGAUUCUACCAACCAUUGCUUCCAACAACUUACGUCUUAAAUAAAGCAUUUUGCCAUGAUGAUGUUUUCUUUACAUUUGAAGAAUUAAAGAUGGCAGCACCAGGUCUCUUCUGCAAAGCAUUUCUAAAAAUACUGGAUCAACAAACUGUCCAUUUUGAUCAAGUGAGUACUUUGGUGUACAUAUCCUAAAAGAGCCGUCUCACUCUAUUGUUGAGGGCUGGUGUUUGGAAACUUUUUACUGUAGAUGCCCCUGGUUCAACACACCUGAAUCAAAAGGCUGAGGUACCCUCUCAGCAUGCAGUCAGAUCCUACAAAGUCCUCCUAGUGGCCAAAUUAUUUUAAAUAGGUGUGUGCCAGAGACACACUUAAAUAGUGAAGAACACCUGGGUUAAUGCACGAAUCCUAGAUUUGAAUUUACUACCGUGUACUAC